GGAAGAUUUAAUUACCCCAUUUCCAGGAUUCUUUUUCGCAUGAGUAUGCUUCUUUUCUCGUACAGCAAAAUCUAUGCACCACAGAAGUUUUAUUUUUUAUUACAUAGGAAGAGAGUUUAAAUGAGAAGCAAAAGAACAGAAACAUUAUCUUUAUAGUGAAGGAGUGAAGAGACAAAUAAAGGAAAUGAAAAGAAAUUAGAUUAAAUUCCAAAUACAAGUUCACUAACUUCAAUUUUCUGCUUGUUUUCGCUCUACAAUUUCCCGUCUUUUCCCUUAUUCUUUUUAUAUUGCCAAAUAUACCAUAAAUAAAUGAGCAUUGCUCUAAAAUCAAAUAUGUUGCCUGGGUUAAAACAGUAGCUGGCCU
rnacentral:misc_RNA from 1 species